AGUGGGGAAUAUUGCACAAUGGGGGAAACCCUGAUGCAGCCAUGCCGCGUGUGUGAAGAAGGCCUUCGGGUUGUAAAGCACUUUCAGCGAGGAGGAAAGGUCAGUAGCUAAUAUCUGCUGGCUGUGACGUUACUCGCAGAAGAAGCACCGGCUAACUCCGUGCCAGCAGCCGCGGUAAUACGGAGGGUGCAAGCGUUAAUCGGAAUUACUGGGCGUAAAGCGCACGCAGGCGGUUGGAUAAGUUAGAUGUGAAAGCCCCGGGCUCAACCUGGGAAUUGCAUUUAAAACUGUCCAGCUAGAGUCUUGUAGAGGGGGGUAGAAUUCCAGGUGUAGCGGUGAAAUGCGUAGAGAUCUGGAGGAAUACCGGUGGCGAAGGCGGCCCCCUGGACAAAGACUGACGCUCAGGUGCGAAAGCGUGGGGAGCAAA
rnacentral:rRNA from 1 species